AAGCACUGAUGGCAGGGUUCUGCGUGGUAUUUAUUCUCACUAACACACCUACCAGUGUCACUCUGAGAUGGAAUCUCUCCUUCUGUAAAAGAUUAUUUGCACAUUGACCCAGUUGAAGACAGAGCGAAUGAAGAUGCCGUGCACAUGGAAAUAUUCAAUUCUCAGCACUCACAAGUGCUGCCAUGCCUGCUGGGGCCAAGCCACUAUGAGCACCCCCUCAGCUGUGGGAAAGUUGGUGCAGGGGUUACCAGCAACCACGAACCCUUUUACUAGAGGAGGAAGUGGCUUCUGGAGUGGGAACUGGGCAGGAGCUGUCUUCCAGUAAGUGGAGAGAAGUGAUGGUUGGGGAAAGCCAAUCAUUGGGAAAGAUGACCUUAUAGCAUAGAGAGGGGGAAAAACAGACUCAAGAAAGAUGCACUGGUGGUCCCUGGUUGGCUGUGCCCAGGCCUCUAUGCUCUGAGCAUCUGCCUGGGUCUUUGGCUCUGAUCUCAAAGGGCUUCCUGGUCCCACCUCUGGUUUCUGGCCUUGGCACAUGCUUUCUCUUGGACAGCAGUGUGGCCAGGCUCUGAGGUGCUCAGGGGUCUCUUGGGAGUCCCCAUUCCUGUUCCUGCCCUGUGGAAGCCUUCUUGCACUUGAGGCUGGCUCCAGUCCCCUCCUGGGCGGUGAGCUUCAGCUGUAACACUGGAUGAAGAAACCAGGAGCAAGCAGGACGUUUUCAAAGCAAAGAAUGCCAGAGUCUAGAGGGCUUCGGCAUUAAUCCACCCCUCCUCCCUCCCUGCAGGGUCAGAAUCCCCUCCGCGGCAACCCCAAAUGUCCCCUCUGCACAUGGCUAUGAGUUACAGCAUCCCCAGAGAGGGGUGACCCAGGAGACAGAAACCAGAGAAUGCAGUAAGCAGAGAUUCACAACUGGAUGAGAUGCAAAGGGGAAAGGACUUCAGAGGAAUGUGUAGUUUCUCAUUCAUCUAUAGGAAGCUUUAAAAAAUUUUAAAAAUAUGUAAACUGACCUCAGACAAGCCCAGCACAGUUAACAAGCCAAACAGAACCAAAUCAAAACCCGUUGCCUCUUCAAUAAUGGCUCUGUCUUAUUACCCAUGGGACAGGAUUGUAACUUGUUCUGGGUCAUUUGUCACCUUUGUCCUGGGCUUCAAAUCUAGAAUUUUAGAUUUUUUGGUACUCUCAGUUUCUGUCCACAUGGUUCUUUGAGUUUUUUCCUAGGCAGCUGCUAGAAAGAUUUUGAUCAACUGGUCAAACAUAUUAAAGAAGUCAAUGUUGAUCAGUAGGAAAAUUUAGAGUGCCAGAUAAAAGAGGUGUCUGGGGUGGCAGUGUCUUGUCAAAGGGCUGGAGGCGAUGUGUUCACUUGCUUUGGAAACACAGAUUCGGGAAUGUGACGGCAAUGUGACGCAGACCUCGCUGCUGAGGCGAAAAGGACGUUAGAAUUAAGGGACUCAGAAGACAUCAAAGUUAAAGUGUUUCUUGUUGCCCGGAGAAAACAGAAAUACGAAAACAACUGCCUGGGGAGUAUCAAGGUACUCCUUUCAUUUCUCCAGCAGAGAAGCAGCAGGGACAGUGAUCGACUCUGAGGAAGUGAGAUGCCCGGAGAGCUUCCAGCCCGGCCAUCCUAACACCACCUUAGAAUUGGGGCACCUGAGACAGCCCUCAGCACCAGGCUCCCAGCCCAGGAUGCUCUUUGAGCUCUGUACUUACCUUCCGGUAGCUUUUCCUAGAAUCCCCUUCCUGAUUAAGUGAAAUGAGGGGUAAUAGAUGGGCAAUUUACACAAGUUAGAAAGAUGCCCCCUGUUGGGGAGCUGACUUGGACAAAUGUAUUCCGAAUUUGCAGGGUUCGCUGUGACGCUGCUCCUCAGAGCUUGUACAUUCUUCAUUUAGAGUUAACCAGUCACUAUAUUUAAGCUGGAAAGACUCAGGAAAUGUGUGAAUGGGAGCCUAAUACCCAGAGUACCCCCAAUGAAAUGUAGAGCUUACUUGGAGAUGUGUUUGUUUGUUUGUUUCAUCUGUUCUUAUCCCCUUGGCCCUAAAAAUUAUCCAAGCACAGUCAUCCGUUGGGUAUCCAUGGGGGAUUGGUGCCAGGACCCCCCUAAGAUACCAAAAUCUGAGGAUGUUCAAAUCUCUUACAUAAAAUAGUGCAGUUUUUGUUUUAGUUUUUGUUGUUGUUGUUGUUGUCUGAGUUGGAGUCUCGCUGUGUCGCCCAGGCUUGAGUACAGUGGCACAAUCUUGGCUUACUACAGCCUCUGCCUCCUGGGUUGCAGUGAUUCUCCUGUCUCAGCCUCCCAAGUAGCUGGGACUACAGGCACCCACUACCACAACUGGCUAAUUUUUUGAAUUUUUAGUAGAGAUGGGAUUUCACCAUGUUGGCUAGGCUGGUCUUGAACUCCUAACCUCAAGUGAUCCACCUGCCUUGGCCUCCCAAAGUGUUGGGAUUACAGGCAUGAGCCACCACAAAUAGUGUAGUAUUUGUAUAGAUCAUUCAUCCUUUCCCCUUCCCCCCCCCCCCCAGCCUCCUCACUCACCUACCAACUUAAUUAGUUCAUCUUUUGUUCCAACAAACAGCUGUUAGUUUCAGUUUGCUUAAUCAUUGCUUUGAGCUUGCCUCAUUUCUUCAGAGCAGCAAGAGUUUGGGGUGCUCUUUGAUUCAUUUUUUGGAGAAGAAAGGCCGCUCUUGGUGUUCUCUGUCUCCAACUUCCAUCCUAAAGAUGAUGCGUAAAAUCACAACUUGGUGUCCAACUUAGUGGGAGAUUUUUGUUCCCUAAAAUCCUGCUCAUCAGAAGCUUGUGCACCGGGCUCACUGGUGUCACUUUGUCUCCUGUCUCACUGUGACAAGAACCCCUAAGGUGUUUGCAGUUCAUGUCCACAGUGAAUCCAAUCUCCUGUUUCCCACUUCAUCCCUCCUGCUCACUCGGGCAACUUCUUUCUCAAUAACCUUCAGCCAAAAGGGAAGUGGAAGAAAUAUUCAUGGCAAAUGACGUCAGUAGAGCUGACGGCAGGCACCCCGUGUUCUGCUGCCUUCAAGAUCAGAGGCGGCCGUUAUAGAUAUCUUGAUUGAUUGCAACAGAAGCCAAAGGGUAUGGCUCUUACUUACUUCAGAGAUUUCAAAGCAACAAAUGUAGAUAUCCUAUCUGUCUUAACCGAUGCCUAGGGAUUUUGCAAAAAGGAGGAAAAGAAAGACGUCAACAACAAAGUGAAUUGUGUAUCUGUUUACUUUUGAUGUGUUCUAUUUGAGAUAGUUUGGUUUGAAGAGCUGCUUUUCUUGAUCAUAGCACAUGUAUCUGUGAGCUUAGUGUGAGGUUUCUCAGCCUUAGCACUAUUCACCUUUUGGACUGGAUCAUUCUUUGUGGUGAGGGCUGUCCUGUACGCUGUAGAAUGUUGAGCAGCCUCCCUGGCCUCAACCCAUUAGAUGCCGGGAGCACCCUCCAGCUCUCACCCAGUCAUGACAAUCAAAAACAUUUUCAGACAUUGCCAUACAUCCUUGGGGGAAGGAAGUGCAAAAUUGCCUGCAGUUGGAAAUAACCGGCUUAGUAUACAAGGUGUGCGUUAAUGCAGAUCUACUCAGCAUUUCCUCACGAAAUCCACAGCUUACUUGGAGUUUUGUUUAUUUGUUUGCUUGCUUGUUUUCAUCUAUUCUUAUCCCUUUGGCCCUAAAAGUUAUCUAAGCACAGUCAUCCCUUGGUAUCCAUGGGGGAUUGGUUCCAGGACCCCCUAAGAUACCAAAAUCUGAGGAUGUUCCAAUCCCUUAUAUAAAAUAGUGUAGUAUUUGUAUGUGACCUAUGCACAUCUUCCUCUGUACUCUGUAUUAUCUCUAGGUUACUUAUAAUAUGUCGUACAAUGUAAAUACUAUGUAAAUAGUUGUUAGACGGCAUUGUUUGGGGAAUAAUGACAAGAAAAAGCCUGAACAUGUUCAGUACAGAUGCAGCCAUCAUCUAACUACAUAGUAUACAUGUCGGCAACAGUGUAACAUUUUCUGGAAUUAUUUUUCCCUAAUAUUUUUGAUCCUUUGCUAAUGAAAUCUGUGGAUAUGGAACCCACAGAUACAGAAACCAUGGGUAUGGAGGGCUGACUGUAUUUUUUCUCCAUCGUUGGGGGUUAAUUAAUGCCCCAGUUGUGUCAUUCUCAUGCAGAGUUAGAGAAAAUGGACAAAGAUAUUUGAAAGCAAAGAAGUCUAGUAAUGUUAUAGAAGAUCUGGCAGCACUUGUCUUCCUUGAUGGCUUCUUUGGAUGGCAUCCUUGAUUUACUGCGACAGCCGUUCUUCACCUUUCAAACACUUCAGAAUUCCCUGACAGAUUCCUACAAAGAUUCCUUCAGCUAGGGUGGAGCCUGAUGUUUGGUUUUCUGGGGUUCCCAUGGAAUUUGACUGUACAUUUGGAGGCUUAUGCCCUGGGGAGCAUCCAGUACUUCUCCCCCAAGCUGGGUGCCAGGCCUCAGGCAGCUGGAUUCACCCAGGGAGCAGAUUGGACAAGCCAUCCAUUCACUUGUUCACUAACUAUGCAGCACUCUGGAUGUUCCAGGCACUAUUCUAGGUGCUAGGGAACACCCUAGUGUAUGUAUCUGACCAUGUACCCGUGUUCUUUUUUUGACACAGUCUUGCUCUGUCGCCCAGGCUCUAGUGCAGUGGCACCACCUCGGCUCACUGUAACCUCUGCCUCCCGGGUUCAAGCAAUUCAUAUGCCCCAGCCUCCUGAGUAGCUGGGACUACAGGCAUGCACCACCACAUCCAGCUAACCUUUGUAUUUUUAGUAGAGGUGGGGUUUCACCAUGUUGGCCAGGCUGGUCUUGAACUCCUGACCUCAAUCAGUCUGCCACCUUGGCCUCCCAAAGUGGUGGGAUUACUGGCACAAGCUAUCACGCCCAGCCUACCCAUGUUCUUAUAUUUGAUCAUUUCUGUCUGAGUGUGUGUCAUCUAUUAUUUGAUAUUUUUGUUUGUUUCUUGAAUUUCUUUUAUUCAGUUAAAGAGAUUUCAUCAUCCCAUAAGACCCCCUCAGGUGUGAGUGGGGGCGGGGGGGGGGGGCGGUGGGGAAAGCUGGAGAAACAAAACACAUUAGCCCUGUGGAAAAUCACACGAUUUCUAAGAAAGUAAUGGUUAUGAUUCUUAGGCUUUCUCUAUGGGAAGUGUUUCAUUGUCAUUGUUUUGUUAGGUCGGUCAGCUCAGAGGUGCUGAAGGCAGUGCUUACAUUUUUGCAGCAGGUAUAUAUUGCAGUGUGGAUUGAACCAGGGGCUUCCUACUGGCCUUGUAUUCUUAGUUUGUUAAAGCAAAUGGCCUCUCCAAGUCACUUCCAGCUGAAACUAAAUCCCAGAGGAAGGGGAAUGAACAUGGUUAGAAACCACACAAUACCCACACCAGGCUUGAUGGAUUGCUGUGAAACAGACCUGGCAGGGACCCAUCAGGACAGGCCAUGGCUUUCUGGAGGCAAUAGUAUAUUCUCCCAGCCUUACUAAGGCUGUUAGCUGCCCCUAAGGUCUUUGGAGUAGAUGCCCCAUUUGGUAGGUGUUCCUUGGAGUCCGUAGCUCUGGCAGCCACAAGUCACAAAGGGAGGAGCAAAUCAAGGGACAUUACAGAGCAGGAACUAUGUGGAAACGGAUGAAAAAACAAACCAGCCCCUUCCAAGUCUGCAGCCACCCACCCAUCGUUUUAAAAUGAGUGGACUUAGGCACAGCAAAAUGAAAGGAAAGUCAGCAGACCCAGGACUUAAACCCAAGAAUCCUCAUAUCUAGUGCAGUGCUUUUCCCGUCCUGUCCACAGAGGAGAAGUCUCUUCCACAACCAAAGGAACCAUCUCAACAGUUUGAGAAACUGAGACUCAGUAUUUUUCUUUACCCAAAUAGCUGGACUGCUGAUUCUGGAAACUGUGUUACCUGUUUGUCUCCCUGCAGCAUAAUAUAACUGUGUGUGUACAUUCAAAAGGAGAGGAUUUGAAAACAUCUUUAAGAUGUGUGACCGUUUUCCAGUCUCGUACUACAGAGAAGAGGCAAUGUGAUAAGACAACUGCAUUAAAGAUGAAAAUUGAAAUAGGCUGCUGGGAACCAGUCCAGAGGAGAAGUAACAUUUGUUACUGAAGCAUGGGCGAAAGAGGAAUUUUUUUUAAUAUGGGAUUUGAGAUUGGCUCAGUCUGGAUGAUGGUUGGUCAUAACUCUAUUCAGCGCCCGUGACAGCAUGCUUGGUGUGAUACUGAAUUAACCAGCAACCAAUGAUUUGGUUCCUGAAUUAGGAUGCUGAAUUAGGUACUGAUGGGAGGACCCUCCCCAUCCAAAAAUUUAAAGGGUGGCACUUCCUUGUUCUCUUGUACCCCCCUGUCUCACUUCAUUCCCCUGAGAUACAAUGUGAAGCACUCCUGCCAAAUGGGUCUUCAUUCCUAGAAAGAGUUCCUGGCCAAAAUGCCUUUCUCUUUUCUUUUGCUGAUAAACUGGGUUGGGCCAUCUAGGGAAGAUCCUGCAAAGCCAAUCCACUGCUCCCCUCCUAGAGAUCUUGUCCUGGGCCCUUUACCCUUCACAAUCAGCUAUGCCUCUGAAGCAGAAGCCCCCGCUGUCCACCAAACAGCUACCCAGUCCCCUGAAAUACUUCCAGCCACAAAGCUCCAAUGUGUUUGGUCCAAAGCAUCCUACCACGAUAGCGUGCCUGCAUCAGAAAGUUCCUCUGCUAUCUAAAGAGGUAAACCACCAGUAGUCUGUCUUGACCACAGAAAAUUUAGACUUUUUUAUAGAGACCCAGAGUGUGCUGAUGAGAAGUAGCACAUUACCUAAGGUGGAGAGCGGGAGUGAGCCCCAGAGAGAGGCACAGGAGGAAGAGAGUGGGGCAGCACUGCGUCUUCAUAGGAAGGGGUGGGGUAGAGAGAUCAAAGGGAGGGGUGUUUGGCGUGAGGGGACUGGGAGAAGUGUGCAGAGGCAGUGCCCUUAGGUGCCCAGAAUCUGUAGGUUGGAGUACCGUGCUGAGCACAAGUUAUAUAAUCAGCUCAAACACUUUCUUUCUACCUUCUGGUAGUUUGCAAUCUAAAGGAAAGGGAAUGCCUGUACAAACAGUGCAGUGUGUUUUUAUGCACAAAAAUCUCACUGUGGAAAAACUUUUGAAAGCAUAUACUAAUAUAAAAGGCUGACGAAAUAAGUGAAAAAAAUUUUAAGUUGCAGGAAACUAUUUUCCAUAUAAAGCUAUUUUUAAAAAAAUAGAUUUGCGUGCAUGAGUACGUAUAUAUAUGUGAGUGUCUUAGUAUUUCGAUGAAUAUAUACAUAUAUGCUUAUUUUCACAUAGAUAACUUCUGGACAUAUAUACAAGAAAAUAUGAUUUUGAAAGUAAGCCUAUAGGGAAGGCAUUUAUCUCUCAAAUUAUAUCCAUCUAGUGUACUUUUUUUACAGUGAGCACACAUUACUUUCAUGACUUUUUAAAAAAAGGGAAAAACUUAAGUAUUUUAAUAAUAGAUAAGAGUAAGCAUUAUAGUAUCUCUUCUCUUUGGAGAGGAGAGACAGAAGGUUGUUGGCUCUGAAGACAGAAGCACUCACAGGGUGUCAGGGUGUGACAAGGAGAAAGCAUAUGAGAUGUUCUAGCAGAGAGUCCAGGACACUUUUCCAUAGAAGGAUGUCAGACUCAUUAGGCUGCUUGGUGUUCACCCCAGGAUCCAAAGAGGGUCCUCCUGGCAUUGAUCUACAGUGCUAGGUCUGUGCUUAACCAGCUUGCUAGAUAAGGAAAGAGGUCUGAGUGAUUACUUCUAUUUUUGUUUGCCUGUAAAUCUGGAUAUUGAACCAAGAAAGUGUUAUAUCUGGUACACUCACAAAUGAAAACACAAAAGAUGACACUUGGGAAAUCUUUGCAAUUUUAGGGUAGGCUAAGAUUUCUUAGAACACAAAAGACACUAAGCUAUAAAAGAACAAAAUGGUAAACUGGACUAAAUAAAAAUUAAAGACUUCUGCUUAUUAAAAGACACUCUUAAGAAACUGAAUAGUAAACCAUGGACUGAGGAAAAAAACAUGCAUCUCACAGAGGACUUAUAUUCAGAAUAUUUUUUAAAAUCUUACAACUGAAUAAUACUAGUUGAACCACCUAACUAAAAAAUGGGUAAAAGACUUUAACAGACUUUUCAUGUAAGAUACGAAUGGCCAUCAAGCACGUGAAAAGAUGCUCAAGGUUAUUUGUCAUUAGGGAAAUACAAAUGAAAACCACAGUGAAAUAUCACUAUGUAUCCCCUAGAUGGCUAACUUUUUUAAAGAUUGCCAAUUUGAAGUAGUGGCAAAAAAAUAUGGAGCAACUGGAACUCUCCUAGGUGGUACACCCUCUUUGGAAAACAAUGUAGCAAUUCUCUAUAAAGCUAAACAUACAUUUACCAGCAAUUUUCCAAGAGAAAUGAAAACACAGGUUCAAAAAAGACUGUUAUAAAAGUUCACAGCAGCUUUUUUAUCAUAUCCCAAACUGGAAACAAUCCAGUGUCAACCUACCGGUGAAUGGAUUGCGAUAUUUUCCGUUCAGUGACUACUACUCAGUGACAGCCGUAAGGAAUGAACUAUUGACACCACAUCUUUGAUGAAUAACAGAAGGCAAACCAGUGGUUGUCCAGAUCAGGGGUAGGUAUGUCUGCCAAGGGGUGCAAGUAAACUUUGGGGUGAUGGAAGUCUGUAUCUUGGCUAUGCUCUUUAUCUUGAUUAUGGUGGUAAUGGUGGUGUCAGAACUCAUAAAACUCUACACUUAAAAUGGGCACAUGUUCUUGUAUGUAAAUCAUCCCUCAAUAAAGUUAAUUUUUGAAAGGAUGGCACUCACUGUAUUCCCCUGGGGAAGGGCUGGCACUGUAGUAUGCCAGUGUGCAUAAACAUUUUACAUUUUCUCUUACCAUUUGCAGUUCUUGCAUUUGCCAAUUCGCUUACCAAGAUGUCAAGAGAGGAGAAUCCCAAGCCUUGCUCUCUGCUCCAUUCUGCCCAUAGGGCUACUUAUUCAGGAACUGAUCCUUUUGUCAGGGAGAGUGGGGCUGUAGGAAUGCAUUAUGAAUGAGAUCAUGUGAAGGCUGGGGGUUGCACCUGCCCCAAAUGCCCAGAGACCAGCACGAGUUCCAUGAUCGCAUCAGAAUUUUUAUCUGUAGAGGCAUCAGGCAUGGCACAUCUGGUUUGAAGGAAAGACGGGGGAACACGUCCCUUAGCAUGCUGCUUUUUUUUCAGAGUUUAUACGUCUGUUGGGCUUGGCUGGGUGAGGGGUGGGGGGGGUCACAGGUGGAUGCUCUACAGAUCCAAAGCACCCCCCCAAGUGUGCCUUGGGAAAGCCCCACUUAGGUUUUCCCACAUGUGUGAUUAUUGAUGGAAUGCUUUUCCUUUAAGGUUUUCUUUCUCUCUUUCUGUUUUCUUUCUUUCACUAUGUCUUCUUUUUAUUUGUGUCCCUCUACAAUUUCCUUUAAUGUGUUUUUGAAGAAUACUGAAAUGCUUUCUUUAAUUUUCUGGCCAUAUAAAUAGGAAAAGACUCCAGACUUCCUCCCUGUGUUUCCUCUUGUUCUGGGCCCAGCAAACCUCCUGGCCACCGAGAAAAACUUUGGGUACGAGUCACCUGCGGAGGCAGGGACCGUGUAGCCAGGCCAACCAUGGUCACCUGUAGCACUUGCGUUCUCAAUAAUGGCAGAGACCUUUUGCUUGGCAGGAAAAGAUCGUUUUUCUUGGCUACCCCCUGAGAAAGGAAAAGGCCCUUUCUAAAAGGAGGGGCAAGAGGGAAAGGCCUGAGGCCUUAACAGCCCCCCUUAGGAACUGCUUGUCCCUUGUGACUUGUGAGAUGCCAGCAA